AUGUGACUCAGCAGUGUGCUUCCUGCUCACUGGCACGCGUGCGUGUGUGUCCAUGGUUAGAGGCCUGGCAUAAAAUACCUUCCAAGGCUUCUACUCUUUCGCCAUACUUUAUCAUUUGUUUUUUCCUUUCCCUGAAUGCCCUCUUUAUUGAUUAAACACUGCUGUAGUGCCUGCUCUAUGCUAUGCUGUACGACAGACCAGUGCUGGCUGGGAAUCCAGGGGAUGAUGAAUCCUAGCUCUUUGCAAGGCUCAUGGAACCUCAUGGGAGGAGGCAGAGAGAGAUCUUUCUUGUUCCAGUGCGGCAUGAAGUGAAGACACCUACAACCAAAUAAUCAGUAAGAACAACCUUUUUGUCUUUUUUGGAAAGUACAUUAAUUCUGAACAUCUCCACUGUGGUAAAACCCGACAACUGCCAGCAUCAGAUGCUCUUCCCAUGAUUCCCAUGAGACUCUGCUGGUGUGCACUAGACCAGGA
rnacentral:lncRNA from 1 species